CCUCCCUGGUGGGAUGUGUGACACUCCUCAGGCUCCUGGCCACCAAGGACAAAGGGAAGGCCAGAAAACAAAUGAUUACACUGAUAGAGUCUCUGGUGUUUACAAACAUCGUAGUGAAAUUUCGAGGAAAGGGCGGUCCCAUCGUGGCCUGGGGCCCAGGAACUCCCUGCGGUCCGGAUGCCAGUGCUUUCCUAGAGGGAAAACCACCCUUAGCCCGACGAGAGCCGGGAGCCGGGCCUCCAGGGAUCUGUGCGGUGUGCUGGGGGUGUCCCCUACUCAGCAGCCGAGGGUCCUACAGUCCAACUCAGCUCUGACACCGUCUACCUGGAGACAGAGUCGACCGCACACGCCCACUGACAAGAUACUUGAGACCCGCAGAGGAAAACGUUUCUCGUCUCGUUUCUCCGGGAACUCCCUGUGCUUUGCUAGAGGGUAAAACCACCUUAGCAAGUGUCUACUUUAGCAGAUGAAAGUCCUUCUGGGGACUCCCCUAGUCUUUACCUCCCCCAGCUCCCAAGUACAUAACCUGUCACUCCUCGGGACCCCAGUGCAGCCCUUCCUGCCCUCGGGUCCCGUCCCCGUGUGUGCUUUAAUAAAACCGUCCUGUUGCACGGAA